rnacentral:rRNA from 1 species
GACGAACGCUGGCGGCGUGCUUAACACAUGCAAGUCGAACGGAAAGGCCCUGCUUUUGUGGGGUGCUCGAGUGGCGAACGGGUGAGUAACACGUGAGUAACCUGCCCUUGACUUUGGGAUAACUUCAGGAAACUGGGGCUAAUACCGGAUAGGAGCUCCUGCUGCAUGUGGGGGGUUGGAAAGUUUCGGCGGUUGUGGAUGGACUCGCGGCUUAUCAGCUUGUUGGUGAGGUAGUGGCUUACCAAGGCUUUGACGGGUAGCCGGCCUGAGAGGGUGACCGGCCACAAUGGGACUGAGAUACGGCCCAGACUCCUACGGGAGGCAGCAGUGGGGAAUAUUGCACAAUGGGCGGAAGCCUGAUGCAGCAACGCCGCGUGCGGGAUGACGGCCUUCGGGUUGUAAACCGCUUUCGCCUGUGACGAAGCGUGAGUGACGGUAAUGGGUAAAGAAGCACCGGCUAACUACGUG